rnacentral:rRNA from 1 species
UGGGGAAUAUUGGACAAUGGGGGCAACCCUGAUCCAGCCAUGCCGCGUGAGUGAUGAAGGCCUUCGGGUUGUAAAGCUCUUUUGGCGGGGACGAUGAUGACGGUACCCGCAGAAUAAGCCCCGGCUAACUUCGUGCCAGCAGCCGCGGUAAGACGAAGGGGGCUAGCGUUGUUCGGAAUUACUGGGCGUAAAGCGAGUGUAGGCGGUUGCCGUAGUCAGGUGUGAAAGCCUUGAGCUCAACUCAAGAAAUGCACUUGAUACUGGGUGACUAGAGGACCGGAGAGGAUAGUGGAAUUCCCAGUGUAGUGGUGAAAUACGUAGAGAUUGGGAAGAACACCAGUGGCGAAGGCGGCUAUCUGGACGGUUACUGACGCUAAGACUCGAAAGCGUGGGGAGCAAACAGGAUUAGAUACCCUGGUAGUCCACGCCGUAAACGAUGGGUGCUAGACGUUGGCGAGCUUGCUCGUCAGUGUCGCAGCUAACGCGUUAAGCACCCCGCCUGGGGAGUACGGCCGCAAGGGUUGAAAANUUAAAGGAAUUGACGGGGGUCAUAGCUGUUU